AACGAACGCUGGCGGCAGGCCUAACACAUGCAAGUCGAGCGCGCCCUUCGGGGUGAGCGGCGGACGGGUGAGUAACGCGUGGGAACGUGCCCUUUGCUUCGGAAUAGCCCCGGGAAACUGGGAGUAAUACCGAAUGUGCCCUUUGGGGGAAAGAUUUAUCGGCAAGGGAUCGGCCCGCGUUGGAUUAGGUAGUUGGUGGGGUAAUGGCCUACCAAGCCGACGAUCCAUAGCUGGUUUGAGAGGAUGAUCAGCCACACUGGGACUGAGACACGGCCCAGACUCCUACGGGAGGCAGCAGUGGGGAAUCUUAGACAAUGGGCGCAAGCCUGAUCUAGCCAUGCCGCGUGAGCGAUGAAGGCCUUAGGGUUGUAAAGCUCUUUCGUGGGGGAAGAUAAUGACGGUACCCACAGAAGAAGCCCCGGCUAACUCCGUGCCAGCCGCCGCAGUAAUAC
rnacentral:rRNA from 1 species